rnacentral:rRNA from 1 species
UACGGAGGGUGCAAGCGUUAUCCGGAAUCACUGGGUUUAAAGCGCGCGUAGGCGGCGCUGUAAGUCAGGGGUGAAAGGCUGCAGCUCAACUGUGGAAUUGCCUUUGAUACUGCGGUGCUAGAAUGAGAUUGAGGAAAGCGGAAUGUGGCAUGUAGCGGUGAAAUGCAUAGAUAUGGCAUAGAACACCAGUUGCGAAGGCAGCUUGCUAGAUCUAAAUUGACGCUGAGGCACGAAAGCGUGGGGAGCGAACAGG